rnacentral:RNase_P_RNA from 1 species
CCAGAGGGUUGGGCGACCGCCGCUUAGCGGGUAACUGCUAAGGGGAGGAAAGUCCGGGCUCCAGCGAGGAACGGUGCCGGAUAACGUCCGGCGAAAGCAAUUUUAGGGAAAGUGCCACAGAAAAUAGUCCACCGCAUUUCGAUGCGGCCAGGUCGAAACGGUGCGGUAAGAGCGCACCGCGUUUCUGGUAACAGAAAUGGCAUGGCAAACCCCACCGGGAGCAAAACCGAAUAGGGGCGGCAUAUGGCAUCCUCCUGCCAGUCGCCCGGGUUGGUUGCAUGAGUG